rnacentral:rRNA from 1 species
GAUGAACGCUGGCGGCGUGCCUAAUACAUGCAAGUCGAGCGAACAGACGAGGAGCUUGCUCCUCUGACGUUAGCGGCGGACGGGUGAGUAACACGUGGAUAACCUACCUAUAAGACUGGGAUAACUUCGGGAAACCGGAGCUAAUACCGGAUAAUAUAUUGAACCGCAUGGUUCAAUAGUGAAAGACGGUUUUGCUGUCACUUAUAGAUGGAUCCGCGCCGCAUUAGCUAGUUGGUAAGGUAACGGCUUACCAAGGCAACGAUGCGUAGCCGACCUGAGAGGGUGAUCGGCCACACUGGAACUGAGACACGGUCCAGACUCCUACGGGAGGCAGCAGUAGGGAAUCUUCCGCAAUGGGCGAAAGCCUGACGGAGCAACGCCGCGUGAGUGAUGAAGGUCUUCGGAUCGUAAAACUCUGUUAUUAGGGAAGAACAAAUGUGUAAGUAACUAUGCACGUCUAGACGGUACCUAAUCAGAAAGCCACGGCUAACUACGUG